rnacentral:rRNA from 1 species
GACAGAGGGUGCAAACGUUGUUCGGAAUUACUGGGCGUAAAGCGCGUGUAGGCGGCCAUCUAAGUCGGGCGUGAAAUCCCACGGCUCAACCGUGGAAGUGCACUCGAAACUGGAUGGCUAGAGUCCUGGAGAGGAAGGUGGAAUGCUUGGUGUAGAGGUGAAAUUCGUAGAUAUCAUGGGGAACACCAAAAGCGAAGGCAAUUCACUGGCACAUUCCUGACACUGAAACACGAAAGCGUGGGUAGCGAAUGGG